GUUGAGAACCACUGCCCUAAAGGCAUUAGAUCCUGUUUGAUCUGGGAAGCUAAACAGGGUCAAUCUUGGUCAAUACUUAGAUGGGAGACCAACAUCAAAUACCAGGUGCUGUCAUCU
rnacentral:rRNA from 1 species